GACGAACGCUGGCGGCGUGCUUAACACAUGCAAGUCGAACGGAAAGGCCCUGCUUUUGUGGGGUGCUCGAGUGGCGAACGGGUGAGUAACACGUGAGUAACCUGCCCUUGACUUUGUGAUAACUUCAGGAAACUGGGGCUAAUACCGGAUAUGAGCUCCUGCUGCAUGGUGGGCGUUGGAAAGUUUCGGCGGUUGGGGAUGGACUCGCGGCUUAUGAGCUUGUUGGUGGGGUAGUGGCUUACCAAGGCUUUGACGGGUAGCCGGCCUGAGAGGGUUACCGGCCACAUUGGGACUGAGAUACGGCCCAGACUCCUACGGGAGGCAGCAGUGGGGAAUAUUGCACAAUGGGCGGAAGCCUGAUGCAGCAACGCCGCGUGCGGGAUGACGGCCUUCGGGUUGUAAACCGCUUUCGCCUGUGACGAAGCGUGAGUGACGGUAAUGGGUAAAGAAGCACCGGCUAACUACGUG
rnacentral:rRNA from 1 species